AGGCAGGCAACGGGGCAGGGUCCAGCCCUGGGAAUGUCUUGGAUGUCUUAACUCAAUACCGAGGCCUGUCGUGGAGUGUGGGCGGAGAUGAGACCAUCGAGACCGUGACCACCCUAGCCAGUGAGUACCCUUGUGCUCUGGGCUCGUAGGCUACGCCUGAGUACACUGCGCCUCCCGCUGGCGGCCGCCAGUCUCCCAAGGCAGCAGGAUGCAGCUGUGUGCAUUAGGGGGCGCUGCUUCCCCAAGGCUGCCGUCCUGGCUUAACUCCUGAGCUAAUUAAAACCUCGGAGGGUUGUUUGCUUUU
rnacentral:lncRNA from 1 species